rnacentral:misc_RNA from 1 species
UGGAGUAAAAGCUGAAUACCUCUUGUGCUUGAAACAUCUAGUUGAUCUGUUACGUGAUAACAGAAAAACGAGCAAAGAUCGAUCCAGCAAUGCUGCUUUACAAGAGUUGAAAGAUGAAAUUAAACGCGUUGAAGUUGAACUCUCGAAGAAAGGAGGGCGUAGAAGUUAGCUACUCAAUGGCGUAAGUCCAUAUCAAUCAAGUACAGAGAUAAACGCUUCAACUCUGUAAAGACAUUGAUGCCAUUUUGUAAUAGUUGUAGGAGGAAGGAAGUAAAACGAAAAAUCGGACAAAGAAAAAAGGGAAGAUUGCGUAGCCUCGGUCUGAAAAAAGUUGAGGUCGGUUAUAUGAAUCUUCAUUUCCUCGGUUUUACUGAAUCUUAUAUG